GACGAACGCUGGCGGCGUGCCUAAUACGUGCAAGUUGAGCGCUGAAGGUUGGUACUUGUACCAACUGGAUGAGCAGCGAACGGGUGAGUAACGCGUGGGGAAUCUGCCUUUGAGCGGGGGACAACAUUUGGAAACGAAUGCUAAUACCGCAUAAAAACUUUAAACACAAGCUUUAAGUUUGAAAGAUGCAAUUGCAUCACUCAAAGAUGAUCCCGCGUUGUAUUAGCUAGUUGGUGAGGUAAAGGCUCACCAAGGCGAUGAUACAUAGCCGACCUGAGAGGGUGAUCGGCCACAUUGGGACUGAGACACGGCCCAAACUCCUACGGGAGGCAGCAGUAGGGAAUCUUCGGCAAUGGACGAAAGUCUGACCGAGCAACGCCGCGUGAGGGAAGAAGGGUUUCGGAUCGUAAAACUCGGUUGGUAGAGAAGAACGUUGGUGAGAGUGGAAAGCUCAUCAAGUGACGGUAACUACCCAGAAAGGGACGGCUAACUACGUG
rnacentral:rRNA from 1 species